GAAGGGAAGGAGGGAGUUGAGGAGAGAGAGAAAGAAGUUAAUCCAAACAGACAUGUGGCAGGCUAUUUUUACGAGUGUCCCCUCAGCCAUUAUCUCUCUGUUAUGGUUUAAGGAUAAAUACAACCCAGGACUACACAAUAUGGAGGGAAAUGUACGUGUGUGUCGUGUCUGUGUGUACCUCUUUCUCUCUCUCUCUAUCCGAAAACGAAGUGGUAAGUAUGUUGGUGUUUGUGUCAGAGCGUGCGUGUUGGUUUGAAGAGGGGGGGGGGGACAGUUUUCGACAAAGGUCAGUGGGAAAAUGGACUACUUGUUGUAAUGGACUACUUGUUGUAAUGGACUACUUGUUGUAAUGGACUACUUGUUGUAAUGGACUACUUGUUGUAAUGCUGACUCUCUCAUUUCAUAACACGUAUUGAAAUCAGUGGAAGGCAACCGGCCAAACCAGCUGUGCAAACUUAACGGAAACAGCACAGGAUGUCUGAUGAAAGGGGUUGCAGUCUGCCGUGAAGCGUUCGUCCAUGUAUACAGCAGAUAGCAGCGCAGUCAUCAACAUGCACCAUUUCUUCACCAACUACGAAGUUGGGGAAAACAACGUGUGGACCUGAAAUGUGAAACUGCAGUGGCCAAAACAAGAACAAGUCUGUGCUCUGGUAUUGUGCCUGGUGGACCAUGCACAAGCUCCACCGUAAUCUCUACCUUCACUUCCUGAUCACAGGCCACACCAAGUUUGCCCCCGACUGACUGGUGCUUCGGCCUCAUCAAGCAGCGCUUCAGAAAGACCAGAGUGAACACUUUGUCUGAGAUCGCUGGUGUUGUGAAGGACAGCACUGUGACAGGGAUCAACAUCCCACAGCUGGUUGGACUGGAGGAUGGUACGGUGCUGGUGGAAAGCUAUAGCUGGCAACAACACCUGACUCCGUUCUUCAGACCACUGCCACAGAUCAAGCAGUACCAGCACUUCGGCUUCGAUGUUCUGGACAUUGUCACCAAGGAGCGUUUGGACUCAGUCAAUCAAUCAAUCAAUCAAUAUAUUUAUAAAGCCCUUCUUACAUCAGCUGAUGUCACAAAGUGCUGUACAGAAACCCAGCCUAAAACCCCAAACAGCAAGCAAUGCAGGUGUAGAAGCACAGUGGCUAGGAAAACCUCCCUAGGAAGGCAAGAACCUAGGACGAAACCUAGAGAAGAACCAGGCUAUGAGGGGAGGCGGGACCAGGUUUCAGCUGCUGCACAACGUUGACAUCCUUCCUCCCAUAGAUGGUCUGCCUGUACAAGCUGCACAUGGACUGGACACAGCUAGACAAAAUUAUCUUUUUGAGAAGAUCAGGGAGUUUUGUGACGAAGAGGCUAUGGGACAUCACGUGCCCUGCACCAAAGUCAAGGGCAGGACAGAAACAGACUCUCCGAAUAUAGAUUCCCUUGUUAAUGCUUGGUUCAGACGGACCAGUCAUCAGUACUAUCUGCAGUGCCUCUAUUCACAUGACUCUCCUAACACUGCUAUUAUUUAUCCUGUUGCUCAGCCACUUUACCCCUGAUUGUAUGCAAAUAACUACCUCUUCUAUCACUGAUAUCGUUAUUGAUAUUGUUCUUGAACAUAGUGUAUAUGUUAUUGAUAUUGACACUAUCUAUUUCUGAUAUUGAUACUAUACAAGUCACCAUUUGGCUGUACCGUAUUCACCUUCUGUAGAGACCCAUCCACUUAGCAAGACAGAAGAAAUAUCGAUAUAUAAAAUGAAUAUUGAUGUG